GAACACCUUCGGGGCAGGGUGAAAGCGUGAGCGCUUCUGGCGCUGCGCUCAUUCCCGAUCGGCGGUACAGCCCGCGAGCGUAAAGGAACGCCUCAUAGCGAAAUCCUUCGCGCAUGAUCCGGUGAAACUCCGGAGCCGACGGUAUAGUCCGGAUGAAAGAAGGUGCGC
rnacentral:ncRNA from 2 species